rnacentral:rRNA from 1 species
UACGAAGGGGGCUAGCGUUGUUCGGAAUUACUGGGCGUAAAGCGCGCGUAGGCGGUUUUGCAAGCCAGAGGUGAAAUGCCUGAGCUCAACUCGGGAAUGGCCUUUGGGACUGCGAGGCUUUGAGGACUGGAGAGGUGAGUGGAAUUCCCAGUGUAGAGGUGAAAUUCGUAGAUAUUCGGAGGAACACCAGUGGCGAAGGCGACACGCUGGGCCAUACCUGACGCUAAAGCGCGACAGCAUGGGGAGCAAACGGG